CAACGAGCUGGUUCGCGAAGGUGGCAGCUGGCGACUGUCAUCUACCGAGAGUGGCCUGAUCGAUGAACGGUUCGACGUUGUUGUCGUCGGC
rnacentral:tRNA from 1 species